UCCACUGGCUUCGGAACCAUGAGGAGGUGGUGGCCGGGGGCCGAGUAGCCAUCACCACUGAAGGCACAUGCCACACGCUGACCAUCUCCAAGUGCAGCCUGGAGGAUGUGGGUGAGGUGGCCUUUGUGGCUGGGGACUGCCGGACGUCCACUCAGUUCUUGGUGUCAGCCCCCAGGAAGCCACCACCACACACCCCUGAGGCCCCUGUGGUCAAGGCCAAGACAGAGAGUUCCGUGACUCUCAGCUGGUCCCCACCACCCCAUGGGGACCGCCCUGUCACCAUUGAUGGCUACGUGGUGGAGAAGAAGCGAUUGGGCACCUACACUUGGAGCCGAUGCCAUGAGGCCGAGUGGGUGGCUACACCUGAGCUGACUGUGGACUGUGUGGCUGAGGAGGGGGACUUCCAGUUCCGUGUGUCAGCUGUAAACAGCUUUGGCCAGAGCUCCUACCUUGAGUUCCCGGGGACUGUCCACCUGGCACCCCAGCUGGCUGUGAAGACGCCUCUGAAGGCAGUGGAGGC